AGCGAACGCUGGCGGCAGGCUUAACACAUGCAAGUCGAACGGGCAUAGCAAUAUGUCAGUGGCAGACGGGUGAGUAACGCGUGGGAACGUACCUUUUGGUUCGGAACAACACAGGGAAACUUGUGCUGAUACCGGAUAAGCCCUUACGGGGAAAGAUUUAUCGCCGAAAGAUCGGCCCGCGUCUGAUUAGCUAGUUGGUAGGGUAAUGGCCUACCAAGGCGACGAUCAGUAGCUGGUCUGAGAGGAUGAUCAGCCACAUUGGGACUGAGACACGGCCCAAACUCCUACGGGAGGCAGCAGUGGGGAAUAUUGGGCAAUGGGCGAAAGCCUGAUCCAGCCAUGCCGCGUGAGUGAUGAAGGCCCUAGGGUUGUAAAGCUCUUUUGUGCGGGAAGAUAAUGACGGUACCGCAAGAAUAAGCCCCGGCUAACUUCGUG
rnacentral:rRNA from 1 species